GAUACACCUUUUGAGUUUAGAUCCAAGCGGAAUCAAUACUAGGGGAUUGUGGCAUAUCAAAUCUACGAAAAAGUGGUGGCUUGUCCAUAAAUGGUGUUUCGGAUAGACAAGUUCUAGGGAACUCAAUACUGGUGUGUAGCGGAGAUGGGUAAGAAAUUUUAUAAAAUGUGCAUCGUUUUAAAAUAUGCAUCGACAUGUUCCUGCAUAAGUAUUAGUGUUACAAUUUAUGAAUAUUAUGAUGAUUAAUAUGUUGAAAUUGAUAUUUUGUUAUGUAUGUGAUUAUGUUUGUGUUGAUCUCACACUGGGCUCUUCAAAGCUCACCUACUUUACUUAUGUGUUUCAGAUAAUCCUCGUAUGAUUUGGAUUUUUAUGGACUUUAAUGUUAUUUUGGACUUUUUAUGUUAAAUUAUGGCAUUGUGGGACUUUACUUUGGGGAACUUUAUUCUAAUAUGCAUGACUUCAUUUCAUGAUAUUAAGUUUCAAGAAUUGUAUAAAUUAGUAUUUGAUAAGAUUUUGUAUGAAACUUGGUUUUAAAAUAAAAUAUGUCAAUAAUAUAUUUUUCCA